UACGUAGGGGCUAGCGUUAUCCGGAUUUACUGGGCGUAAAGGGAGCGUAGGCGGCCGGGUGUGUCGAAUGUGAAAGCCCACAACUCAACUGUGGAAUGGCAUUCGAAACUACCUGGCUAGAGUACUGGAGAGGAGAGCGGAAUUCUUGGUGUAGCGGUGAAAUGCGUAGAUAUCAAGAGGAACACCGGUGGCGAAGGCGGCUCUCUGGACAGAUACUGACGCUGAGGCUCUAAAGUUAGGGGAGCAAACAGGAUUAGAUACCCCUGUA
rnacentral:rRNA from 1 species